AGAAGGGUUAUCUGAGGACACCACCCCUGAAAUGAGGCUUAAAGAUGACUAAAUUGGCCCCAAAGGGGAGGAAGUACAGUCUUCAAAGAGCACCCAGAGCAGAUGCAAAGGGAAGAAGAGACCACAGAAUGGGGUGUGUGAGGAGUUAAAUAUGCAAGGGAUGGAUGACUACAGGUUUUGCAUGCCAAGCUAAACAGUUGGACUUUAUUUUGGAAGCAGCAGGAGUCACUGAAAGACACCUGAGCUCAGAAGCCACCAUAUUGGGUUAGUUUUCAGUAACUACUGCUCUGGCUGAGAUGAGGAAAACGACUUGCCUUGCCUAGAGGAGGAGGAAUGUGGAAGAAGGAGAUCCUAAGAGGGUGUUUCAGUGCACAGGUGAUCAAGCAAAGCCUCAGCCUGAGGGAGGGGGAGCAAGAACAUGGCUUACUCCCCUGGUGCUAAAAAGUGCUGAACAAGGCAACCCCAUCAGCGGCUGGGAGCAACUCUCAUGACAAAACACUGCAUUUUAUCAGAUCUGAGAUCUCACUGAUCACAAACAUACAUUAUUUUACAUACUACAGAGAAAGGAAAAGCAUGCAAGAUGGGAUUUUUUUUUUUUUUUUUGGAAACAGUUGUGCCCUGUUGCCCAGGCUGGAGUGCGGUGGCAUGAUCUUGGCUCACUGCAACCUCACCUCCUGGGUUCAAGUGAUUCUCCUGCCUCAGCCUCCUGAGUAGCUGGGAUUACAGGCGCCCAUCACCAUGCCCAGCUAAUUUUUUGUAUUUUUAGUAGAGAUGGGGUUUCGCCAUGUUGGCCAGGCUGGUUUUGAACUCCUGGCCUCAAGUGAUCUGCGCACUUUGACCUCCCAAAAUGCUAGGAUUACAGGAGUGAGCCACCAUGCCCGGCCCAAGAUGGUAAACUGAACAGGUAUCAGGGACCACUUGAAUCCAGGGAACCAAAUGGCCACAAAGAAACCCGCCAUGCAGAAAGGGAUGGCAAAGAGCCUUGGAUGUUUCAACCUGGGAACUGGGCAGAGAGGGGAGGAAUCUCCCCUGAAGAUUUGAAUCCUAAGUCAGUAGUUACUCUCAUUUGCAUUCUGAACUCACCACCACUGUGGUUCAAGUGCCCUCAAGCAGGGAAUCUAAACUUUGGUCUUAGUUUACCAGCACCUCAAGUGACGAGCAGAGGCAGACACUGAAGAAAUGAACUUCCAUGGCAACUUUAAGAUGUAUACUGAUUUCAGAUGUUAACUAUUAAAAUACGUACAUCUGUGAAUAUAAAUACAGGAACCCCCCCUACUGGGAGGCCCAUUACAGGAGUUAUUCAGGAUUUGGAACUAAGAAUACCAAAGUUAGGAAGAAGGCAAGACAGAAACCAAAGUCUCAAAAACAAGAUGAGAUACUCCUCGCACAAGAAGGUUUGUAGAAAUAUAGAACUUUUAACAACGGAUAACUAUGAGAAGGCCCAACCCAGAAGUUUCCUGUAGAUUAAGAGAAAAGAAAAACAAAAAUAUAGGCAAUCUUGGAGGCCCAAGAUUUGCCCAGUAAUAAACAAUUUUUCUGGAAAACUGGAAACAAGGUUUAUUUCACCUCAGUCAGGCUGUUAGCCAGUAUUUUUGUUGGACUCAAGUUCUUAAAGAUUCAAAUGUUUCCUAUUCUCAACCUCUGGCUUACAGAUAAAUACUUAACGGUUUUUAUCUGGGGGCUGGCCCUACUUGAUAAGGACUUAUAAAACUGUACUAAAAAAUAUGUUUAAACAAAUCUUUCCCGUGACAGUAGCAGUCUUUUCCUCCAUGAGGAAAUCUGGCUCUUAGAGCUGAUCUGCAGGAAUUCGCUGCCAAAUAAGAGAUCUGCGGGCUGUGGGUUUGCCCAGGACGCUAACGGUGCUAACUGCUGUACACCCUUAGGAGCACCUUUCAGACCCCAGGGCAUCGAACAAGGCACAAUUUCAUCUUCCAUUUCAUUCCACUGCCAUUUCAUAAUUUAGAAAUUAAGGAACAAAAAAGUUAAAUAGCUUGCUCAGGGCAUAAAGUAAGUCCAAGUCAAGGUUUAAGCUUUUAAACUGAAGCCUGUCCGGCUGCACACCCCUUUUCCUCAGAGAUGGGCUCUCACUGGUGGCUUGGUAAGGCAGCUAUUUUUUUCAUUGCGUUUUUAAAGGGGAUAUUGUUUUUGUUUGUUUUUUGAGACAGAGUCUCGCUCUGUCACCCAGGCUGGGGUACAGUGGCGUGAUCUUAGCUCACUGCACCCUCCACCUCCCAGGUUCAAGUGAUUCUCCUGCCUCAGCCUCCCGAGUAGCUGGGACUACAGGAAUGACUACGCCCGACUAAUUUUUGUAUUUUUAGUAGAGAUGGGGUUUCACUAUGUUGGCCAGGCUGGUCUCAAACUCCUGAUCUCAAGUGAUCACCCACCUCAGCCUCUCAAAGUGCUGGGAUUACAGGCAUGAGCCACCACACCCGGCCUGUUUUCAUCAUUGUUUUUAAUGCAACUUUUAGGAUGCUUCUGAUUUUCCUAAUUUUAUUGAGGAAUAAUUAAUAGAAAUUAUACGUAUUCAAAGUAUACAAUGUGAUUAUUUGAUAUAAAUAUAGAUUGCAUAUUGAUUCCCAUAAUCAAAUUAAUCAACACAUCUGUCAUCACACAUAGUUACCCUCUGCAUGGAGAGGGAAAAGACUAAGGACGCUCCCUAAUCUCCAGAACAUAUUCAUCUUAUAAAUGAAAGCUUGUACCCUUUGACCAGCAUCUCACCGUUUCUCCCAUGCCCCAGACCCUGACAAUCACCAUUCUACUCUUGGCUUGUGGAUUCAACGUUUUUAUAUUCUACAUAUAACUGAGAUCAUACAGUAUUUGUUUUUCUGUGUCUGGAUUAUUCCACUUAGCAUAAUGUCCUCCAGGUUCAUCCAUGUUGUUGCAAAUGGCAGGCUUUCCUUAUUUUUAUGGCUAAAUAUUAUUCUAUCCUGUAUAUAUAUACCACAUUUUCUUUAACCAUUCCUAAGAUAAAUGGCACUUGGGUUGUUUCCAUAUCUUUGCUAUUGUGAGUAAUGCUGAAAUAAAUAUGGAAGUGAAGAUAUCUCUUUGACAUACUAAUUUGAUGUCUUUUAAACAUAUAUCCACAAGUGGGACUGCUGGAUCAUAUAGUUGAUUUUUACAAAACUUCCAUACCAAUGUCCAUAAUGGCUGUACCAAUUUUCACCCUAAUAGCGUACAAGGGUUCCCUUUCCUCCAUAUCCUUGUCAAAACUUGUUAUAUUUUGUCUUUUUGAUAACAGGCAUCCUAACAAAUGUGAGAUAAUAUCUCAUUGUGGUUUUGAUUUGCAUUUCUCUAAUGAUUAGUGAUGUCAAGCACCAUUUUUCUUUUUUUUUUCUUUUUCUUUUUUUUUUUUGAGACACAAUCUCACUCUGUUGCCCAGGCUGGAGGGCAGUGGCAUGAUCUUGGCUCAAUGCAGUCUCGACCUCUUCGGGUUCAGGUGAUCCUCCUGCCUCAGCCUCCUCACCUCAGUCUAAUGGGUAACUGAGACUAUAGGUGCAUGCCACCACGCCUAGCUAAUUUUUGUAUUUCUUGUAGAGACAGGGGUUCACCAUGUUGUCCAGGUUGGUCUGGAACUCCUGGACUCAAGCAAUCCACCUGCCUCGGCUUCCCAAAAUGGUGAGAUUACAGGCAUGAGCCACCGUACCUGGCAAGCAUCUUUUCAUUUACCUGUUGGCUAUUUGUGUGUCUUCUUUGGAAAAGUGUCUAUUAAGGUCCUUUGCCCCACCUCCACUUUUUUUUUUAUUUUAGUAUUGAGUUGUACGAGUUUCUCGUAUAUUAUGGACAUUGACCUUUUACCAGAUAUAUGGUUUGUAGACAUUCUCUCCCAGCCUGUAUGUUACCUUUUCAUUUUGUUGGUUGUUUCCUUUGCCGUGCAGAAGCUUUUUGGCUUGAUGUAGUCCCACUUGUAUGUUUUUGCUUUUGUUGCCUGUGCUUUGAGGUAACAGCAACAAAAUCAUUGCCAAGGCCAAUGUCAAGAAGCUUUUUUCCCCUGUGUUUUCUUCUAGAAAUUAUAUGGUUUCAGGCCUUACCAUUAAGUCUUUCUUUUCUUUUUUUUUGAGAUGGAGUCUCGGUCUGUCACCCAGGCUGGAGUGCAAUGGCAUGAUCUCAGCUCACUGCAACCUCCGCCUCCCAGGUUCAAGCCAUUCUCCUGCCUCAGCCUCCCGAUUAGCUGGGAUUACAGGUGCUGCCACCACGCCUGGCUCAUUUUUUGUAUUUUUAGUAAAGAUGGGGUUUCACUAUGUUGGCCAGGCUGGUCUCAAACUCCUGACCUUGUGAUCCGCCAGCCUCAGCCUCCCAAAGUGCUGGGAUUACAGGCAUGAGCCACUGCACCCGGCCUCUUACAGUUAAGUCUUAAUCCAUUUCAAGUUGAUUUUUGUAUAUGGUGUUAAGGGUCCAAUUUUAUUUUUUGGCAGGUGGAUAUCCAGUUUUCCCAACAGUAUUCUUCGAAGAGACUGUCCUUUCCCCCAUUGCGUAUUCUUGGCACCCUUGUCAGGAUGCUUCUAUGCAAUCCUCCAGGUACGUACUAGAUCCAUCUGACAUUUAGGUCAUUAUGCAUUUAUCAUUUACUCCCACUGGAUUUUAAGCUUCUUUCCAGGGCAGUGACCAUGACUUAUUUAUCCUGUAGCAGUCUUUCACCACACCUAGAGCAGUGCCCCAACACACAGCGCUUAAGAAGAGCAUGAAGUGACAAUAUACACAGAUUAUUAACUUCUUUGUGCUCCAAGGGAAGUCUUUUAUGGAUACUAAAAGUAGAAGUCAUUAGUUCCAAAUAAAUUUAAACAGGUUUCAGGUAUUCUUCUACUGACCGAAAUUAGACCAUUCCUUGUCCCCCUUUUCCUUCCAUCCCUUAUAAAUUCCCAUGACACAACAAACGAACAAAAGCUCUAAAAGUAGACUGUUGUAUGAAAAAGACCCUGAACCUAUCAGUUUAAAGAAAACCUGGAAAAAUUUUUAAUGAAAACCAAACUUAGUAUCUUUUCUUCUCCUCUUCCCUCCUUCCUUCCCAAGAGGCUUCGGCAGCACCAGGGCUCCCCAGAACAAACCAAAGCCCUUUGGUGGAGCAUUUGGAUUUCAUCUCCCAUCUGGACUGUACCCCUUCCACCGGCGAGGGCAAAGUUCACAUGUGAAGUCUACAGAGUAAGAUGCCAUGAUGGGUAAUGUGGGGAUUCAGGAACAAGCGAGUGAGUAAGCAGGGCUGGAAACUGAGAUUUGAGCUGCGUUUGUGGUAGGCUCUGCUUACGAGAUGGGAGGGCAACCCAUGCUCUUGCUGAGAGCGAAGGAAAGAGGAACUCACCACUGGCUGGAGGAAUGUCCACUCGUCAUGGGAAGGCAGAAAUGGAUUAUCAAGUUUCAGACUUAGAAAACAAAGAAAAACUCUAAUUGCGGACAUUCCUUGCAGUUUAAGAUCAGGGUAAAUAUACCAAUACAAAAUUACUGGGGUCAAAGGCUUUUGUAUGUGUGGUUUUUUCCCGCAGUAAUGGGUCACUUGAUCAGAAAUCCCUGUGUGAACUCACUUUUUUUUGGUAAUGAUGACAUGAGAAUUUCCACACUUGCCAAGUCAGUAUUACGUGGAACUGAAACCAGACUCAGUGCAUAUGAAGACUUUGCUCACACUUGUUUUUACUACAGUCAGCAAUGCUUCAUAAGGCCAAAUUUAAUGAUGUAAUUUUGGCAGAGCUAAUAUAAAUAGCUCAAAAUUAUUAAUUUACUUUUGGUUGCAAUUAUUAACCAAUAUGUAUGUUAUGUGAUAGCUAUCAGUUUUCUAUUUACCUUUAUUAGGUGAGGCCCCAAAGAAAAAUUUUUAGCUAAAUAUAUUAGGUUCUCCAAAGGGUCAGGAAAGGAGCCUGAAAACAGAGAAGAGACUGAAUUGAAUAGCUUAGAUUUCUAGUACUGGGCAUUCUGAAAGCGUUUUGGCAAUUUAUCCCCUAAAAAAGAAUUUAGAUCAGAUGGGAGAUAAUAAAUUAGAGAAUUUGAUUCAAGAGGCUUAACUCUGGUUAAUCAAAUGAUGACUAAUUUCCAAUCUGGAAUUUGAUCAAUUAGUAAACUGGUACCCCAAAAUUGGUUAAGAGUAAAAUUGUUAAGAGGGCUGUAGUCAUUUUUAAAAGAGAUGUUAUUUCUUAUUCCCAAUCAAAUCUUAUAUUGCUGAAUUCUAUUAUGCUCCAAUAUUAAAUUUUUAAAAGUUGGCUUUUUAAAAAUUGGUUUUUAAAAUUGGUUUUUGAAAAUUUAAAAAGUUGGUUUUUAAAAAUUUUUUUAAUUUUUAAAAGUUGGCUCACGCCUGUAAUCCCAGCACUCUGGGAAGCCAAGGCAGCUGGAUCAUGAGGUCAGGCAUUUGAGACCAGCCUGGCCAACAUAGUGAAACCCCAUCUCUACUAAAAAAAUACCAAAAAAUUAGCCGGGUGUGGUGGCAGGCGCCCGUAAUCCCAGCUACUCAGGAGGCAGAGGCAGGAGAAUCGCUUGAACCUGGGAGGUGUAGGUUGCCGUGAGCCGAAAUCACGCCAUUCAUUGUUCUCCAGCCCGGGUGACAGUGCGAG
rnacentral:lncRNA from 10 species